rnacentral:rRNA from 1 species
AGAGUUUGAUGGUGGCUCAGGAUGAACGCUGGCGGCGUGCCUAACACAUGCAAGUCGAGCGAAGCGAUUUAGCGGAAGUUUUCGGAUGGAAGUUAAAUUGACUGAGCGGCGGACGGGUGAGUAACGCGUGGGUAACCUGCCUCAUACAGGGGGAUAACAGUUAGAAGUGACUGCUAAUACCGCAUAAGCGCACAGCAUCACAUGAUGCAGUGUGAAAAACUCCGGUGGUAUGAGAUGGACCCGCGUCUGAUUAGCUAGUUGGUGAGGUAACGGCUCACCAAGGCGACGAUCAGUAGCCGACCUGAGAGGGUGACCGGCCACAUUGGGACUGAGACACGGCCCAAACUCCUACGGGAGGCAGCAGUGGGGAAUAUUGCACAAUGGGGGAAACCCUGAUGCAGCAACGCCGCGUGAGUGAAGAAGUAUUUCGGUAUGUAAAGCUCUAUCAGCAGGGAAGAAAAUGACGGUACCUGACUAAGAAGCCCCGGCUAACUACGUGCCAGCAGCCGCGGUAAUACGUAGGGGGCAAGCGUUAUCCGGAUUUACUGGGUGUAAAGGGAGCGUAGACGGCGAAGCAAGUCUGAAGUGAAAGCCCGGGGCUUAACCCCGGGACUGCUUUGGAGACUGUUUUGCUAGAGUGCUGGAGAGGUAAGUGGAAUUCCUAGUGUAGCGGUGAAAUGCGUAGAUAUUAGGAGGAACACCAGUGGCGAAGGCGGCUUACUGGACAGUAACUGACGUUGAGGCUCGAAAGCGUGGGGAGCAAACAGGAUUAGAUACCCUGGUAGUCCACGCGGUAAACGAUGAAUGCUAGGUGUUGGGGAGCAAAGCUCUUCGGUGCCGUCGCAAACGCAAUAAGCAU